UACGGGGGGGGGCAAGCGUUGUUCGGAAUUACUGGGCGUAAAGGGCGCGUAGGCGGUUCGUUAAGUCCUGUGUGAAAUCCCCCGGCUCAACUGGGGAACUGCACAGGAAACUAGCGGGCUUGAGUUCGGGAGAGGGAAGCGGAAUUCCGGGUGUAGCGGUGAAAUGCGUAGAUAUCCGGAGGAACACCGGUGGCGAAGGCGGCUUCCUGGACCGACACUGACGCUGAGGCGCGAAAGCUAGGGGAGCAAACGGG
rnacentral:rRNA from 1 species